CACGUAGGGGGCAAGCGUUGUCCGGAUUUAUUGGGCGUAAAGGGCUCGUAGGCGGUUUGUCGCGUCGGGAGUGAAAACACCGGGCUUAACUCGGUGCUGGCUUUCGAUACGGGCAGACUAGAGGUAUGCAGGGGAGAACGGAAUUCCUGGUGUAGCGGUGAAAUGCGCAGAUAUCAGGAGGAACACCGGUGGCGAAGGCGGUUCUCUGGGCAUGUCCUGACGCUGAGGAGCGAAAGUGUGGGGAGCGAACAGG
rnacentral:rRNA from 1 species